UUAGGAAAAGAAAAGCUCUUCUCUUCUCCUUCAGUCUUCAGAGUUGCGACUCCCUCUCUGGCUCUCUGUCACUGUUUCACUUUCCUCUCCAUCUCUCAAGCACCAGCGCCUCUCCCUCUCUCAAGUUCAACUCUCGGUCAUUUUCAUUCCUUCUCCUGUUUCUCCUCUCCAGUCUCCACCCUCCAAGCAGAUUAGCGCAGAUGAGGAGAAUUGCGCAACAAUAUCAACAACUGGUUGAAUGACUUGAUGAUAUGUUACAUCGAACGGAAGAUAUUCAAGUCACUCGAUGAUGUUAAUAUUAUUCGAACAUUCCCUCGAAAGAGGUCGCGGAAAGGGCAUUUACCUCAUAAUUUUAUUUAGCACGCUAUUGUCAGGGAGGCGACGAUAAAGACAUGGAUCUAUGACGGCGACACCAACAUCCCACUAUCAUGCAAUAACAUCAAUUUUGGUAGUGGCAUCGUGGAGGAUUCAGUGCAUUGAUCAGUUCUUUGGCGAUUACAAAAUUCAGCAGCUGCUGCAAAUAUAAAUACUACAUUGAGUACAUUGGGAGGGAUGCGGCAGAACGACGAAUGGCAAUUUCUAUUUCAAAACUUCAUUCUAUAUGGGAUAUUCUUUGAUAGAAAUAGAGGAGUAUUAUACAGAUUCUUAAAUCUAUACAGCAAGCAGAAAGUUGCGUGUAUAUGUAUGUAUGCUUCGAGUUGCCUAUAUUUCAUUUUAACAAGAGCAAUCACUUAUAUGCUCCGGUUUAAUUAACAUUCCAUUUGCUAUAUUACAUCGACUUUUUCAAUCAAAAAUAUCCCAAAGUAUGAAUAAGUGAUAUGACUAAUGUGUAAAUAUUAUUUCACUCUUUGUGAAAUGUCGUCCUGUGCAAGACUUGGAUAUGUUAUCAAAGUUUUUUUACUUAUUUCUUCUA